rnacentral:lncRNA from 1 species
AGAUACGAAGUCCCUAGGAAGGUGCGCCCCACGCGGCUUCUGGGCCAGUAGGGGAUUUCAGACCGCAGGUUAGCCGAAGGGCUGGAGUCUGUGGUGAGACCCGCAGGUGGAGGACAGGGUGACUCAGACACGUUUGUCCUGAGACCCUCUAUCACCUGCGCAGACCGCCCCCUCAUCCGCCCUCCCGCGACCUGGAGCCCACCCAGCCGCGGAUGCCGUACCCGAUGUGCUCGGAAAGCCUUAACGAGGUACCGGUAGGCCGCUGUGUCGCGAUAUGGCCGCCCGGUGGCCGCGUUCAGGUAGCGCAGCUCCCUCAGAAGGCCCCGCAGAGUGCGCGCCGGGGACCCCAGGGCCGCCAUUUUUCUGUCCUUGGAGAGCCUGGUCCCUCACUGCCUCGGGCGAGGUGUUCCCCCGCCCACUCCGCCCCACAGCGCCCUCUACCGACCACCCUUGGAGGGAAACGCGAGUGACAGGCACCUCAGGGGACCAGGAGAGCAAGGGAAGGUGCCGAAUCCUCUCGGCCCUUCUGACUGCGUCCCUUUGGACUGCCGUAAGCUGAUGGCCGCCGAGUCUCUGAGGAAAGGUGUCUGGCAGGAGAGUAUGUGGAUGUCUGGACAUAGGUCACGCCAAAAAGAUCUUACUGUUUCUACCAGGGAUGUCAAAAUUAAACGUACCGACCUCCAACUUUAUGGUCCCCGCAGCCUAGGAGAAGAAAAUGAACUCAUACCCUGGUAUGGCAAACUGCAGCCCCUUUACUAGUAAAGCCUCACAUCCAGUUCUCUAGUUUUGUUUUGUUUUUCUGUUUGUUUAUUGUUGUUUUUCGAGACAUGGAUUCUCGGUAUAGCCCUGGCUGUCCUGGAACUCACUCUGUAGACCAGGCUGGCCUCGAAAUCCGCCUGCCUCUGCCUCCCGAGUGCUGGGAUUAAAGGCGUGCGCCAUCACGCCUGGCUUUUUUUUUUUUCGUUUUGUUUUUUUUGUUUGAUUGUUUUUCCCCGCAGUUCUCUAGUUUUAAAACAAGAUGGCCGGGCGUUGUGGCACACGCCUUCACUGCCUGCAGAAGCAGGCGGAUCUCACAGCUCAUAGACCAUUAUGGUCUGCAGUUUGUUCUAACCCAGCCAGAACUAGGUAGAGAGACCUUGUCUCUAAAUACAUAAAAUAAACAGUAAGUUUGACUCGCAAUAAUCAUCUAAUUAGAUGAUGUUAAAAUAGAUAAAAAAAAAAAACGAACCACCCCAGAUGGGACUCGAACCCACAAUCCCUGGCUUAGGAGGCCAAUGCCUUAUCCAUUAGGCCACUGGGGCUUCUUCUACUGAUGUCCUCAAACACCAUAAUCAAGUUAUUUCCUGUUUCGUACGUCAUCACUUAAAUUUAUUGUUUUUACCCUAUCACAGAGAACCAAACUCAGCCUCAGUGUGAAACGGAUGCCUGCUGGGAAAUGUAGUUUAGAUGCCAAGAGUCAACCGCUUCACCCUGCAAACAGUGGAUGCCACGAAGCCGAACGGGCUCCCGCUUUUGCUUACGUGUUCGUGUUUCUGUGCGUAGUAGCUCUGCGCCUGCGCAAAAGUGGGCCCGGGAGACGUCAGAGCCAAACGGGCUGCGGAAACCAGUUCCUCGAGCCUCCCUCUGGUCCUAUUCUUUGUCAGAUUGUAACAGGAAAAGCCAAGCCCCUUCCGAUUGGGCUACUUUCAGGGUUUGUCUUCGCUCUUAGCUGGUCGUUAGGUGGCGUUUAGGUAGUGGUCAGUUUCUGUUUCCGGUUACAGCGCUGAGGCCAUUUCCGCAGCCAAGGAUGUAUUAGAAUGGGGUUCAGUUUUCGAAUUUUCAAGUGGGCUAUAAGUAUAAGACGGUGCGAAAUUAGUGCCUACUAUAGUAGAAAUUAGGGAUAAUUAGAAUUUAGGUUUGUUCCUAAUUGUAUACCGUAGACAAAACCACUUUGGGAGGAGGGGGUGAGGAGUGAGACCGGGUUUCUCCGUGUAGUCCUGGAGGUCCGGGAACUCGCUCUGUAGACCAGGCUGCCUCCCGAGUGCGGGGAUUAAAGGCUUGCGCCAUCACCGCCCUGUCAUAAAACCUCUUUUUGAGGUGUCAGUGGCUCUUUAUUUUCUAAGAAGCAGUUCAGUCUAUUUAAGGUUGCCCUUGUAGACCCUACCUCAUUAGCUUUUUAUAUGUUAACCUUCGUCUAGCUCCGGCCGCUUCUUGUUCCCCUCUGCUCAGAUAUCUGAGCUAGCCUCUUUCCUCAGUCCCAACAGCCUGCAUAUCGCCUUAGUAUUCCUAUUUACUCUCUGGGUCUUUUGACUUGCUCGGUGUAUGUUAGAAGCUGUUCUAGGCCCUUUAGGCUCUCUAUGACAAGGUUACAGUUAGCUUUGUCAUUCGUAGUGGCAUGCUUAGGAGGAAGAAGGAUCUCUGUAAAUUGGAAGCCUCCGUGAGACCCUGUCGCAAAUUACAU